rnacentral:rRNA from 1 species
UACGUAGGGGGCAAGCGUUGUCCGGAAUCAUUGGGCGUAAAGAGCGUGUAGGCGGCCAGAUAAGUCCGCUGUGAAAUCUCGAGGCUCAACUUCGAGCUGUCGGUGGAAACCGUCUGGCUAGAGUCCGGAAGAGGAGAGUGGAAUUCCUGGUGUAGCGGUGAAAUGCGCAGAUAUCAGGAAGAACACCCGUGGCUAAGGCGGCUCUCUAGUACGGUACUGACGCUGAGACGCGAAAGCGUGGGGAGCGAACAGG